rfam:Ictidomys tridecemlineatus contig027812, whole genome shotgun sequence.
GGGAUUGUGGCUCAGUGGCAGAGCGCUUGCCUCUUGUGUGUGAGGCACUGAGUUCGAUCCUCAGCACCA